AACAUCUAACGCCUUAAAGUGUAUAAAUUGAUCACGGCCAUUUUUUUGAUAUUCAUAUUUAAAUCGCUUUAAAAUCGCAUCAAAACCAAAUGGUCAAUUGAAGUGCUGCGAUUCGAUUUGAUUCCAUUUCGGAUCGUCGCAGAUGGUCGCGCAUAAACUCGGUUGUUUAUGGGCCUAAGCGGCUUUGGUGUUUUGGUUUUGGUUGUGGCUUUCCUGGCUCGGUAACUUCGUUUGUGCCCCGGUUUUCAGUGCCUCCGCAUCUCCAUCGAAAUACCAGGUCUGCGUGACCAGGUCUUUUCAGCCAUCGGCCAUCGGCAAUGUCUAAUCCAUGGCAAUUAAUUACAUCGUUACACGCGCUGCCGCCAAACAACUUAAUACAACAUAAAUAAUUGUCAAAAUGCUCGGCCACAGACGCGCGAAUUAGUCUUCAUUAUGUCAAUAAAUCUUGGCCAAUUGCCACACCGGAUCAUGCAACAUCCAAACGGGAGUCAAUAUAUCUUAAUGCACCUGUCCCACGCCGAAAUGGAAACUCUAGUUGGGCGAUGUCCAAUUUUCUCAUCAGGUUACUGAAUAUUAAAAAUAAAAGACAUACUAUAUAAGAAGCGGACGCCAAAGUUGGUCUAUGGCCGGCUCAAAAGAUGAUUAUGGUCAUGACAACUUAAUGACGAACGCAGCCUCGGCCUGGGAACCCGAUCCGAUCCGAUCCAAUCCAAUCCGUUGCGAUCCCAAAAGCGAGCCCUCGUCGUCUGGAAACCCCUCAAGUGGCCCGGUGGUGACCGAAAAACGAGACUGGCAAAUUUGCAUAAAAAUCAGUGGUAUAUCCCCUAUACACCCCGCCUCCUUCAGGUGACAUUAACAAGCCACAAAAAAGGAAGCACCAGCCACUGUGAUACGACCAAAUUUUAAUUAAAAGUUUAGUGGAGCGAGAGACACACGCCAACGACAACGACAGCAACACAGCAGCAACAUCAACACCAAAAGCAACCCCAGAGCAACAUUGCACCAUGGGUUAGAACUAUAUUUGCUUUGUUAUUAAUUAAGAACAACUUUUUUAUAAUUUUAAGGAUUAAAUUUUAGAUAUAUUACUCUAUUAUCUUUGAAAAACAUACUUAAGAAGUUCCAUCAAAAAUAAAUCUCUACAUGAAAGUUUAUUUAAAACCUUAUGACUCUGUAUGAAUUUUGAUAAAAUGAUUAAUAUAUACCUAUGUUAAGCUUAAGAUGU